UACAGAGGGUGCGAGCGUUGUCCGGAAUCACUGGGCGUAAAGGGCGCGUAGGCGGCCUGGUAAGUAGGGGGUGAAAUCUUACGGCUCAACCGUGAGGCUGCCUCCUAGACUGCCGGGCUCGAGCACAGCAGAGGCUAGUGGAAUUCCCGGUGUAGCGGUGGAAUGCGUAGAGAUCGGGAAGAACAUCGGUGGCGAAGGCGGCUAGCUGGGCUGUUGCUGACGCUGAGGCGCGACAGCGUGGGGAGCAAACAGG
rnacentral:rRNA from 1 species